AAGGGGUGAAAAUUUGGAUUCUAUGGGUAUUUUUGAAAAGAAAAUCAGAAACCGGUGGUCAAAAUGCAAUUUAAAAAAUUUGUACCACGUCAGCACCCAUGUCAGCAGCCACGUCAGCAGCCCUGUCAGCAGCCCCGGCCAACCAGGACACGCCGCGUGGCAAGAAAACGCUGACCAGGGGACGGGCCACGUGGGCGAUCCGCGUGCGCGCGAUCGGACGACUCA
rnacentral:lncRNA from 1 species